rnacentral:rRNA from 1 species
GCGACCCCAGGAUGGGCGAGGCCACCCGCCGAGUUUAAA